AAGGAGGAUAAUUCCACUGUCAAAACUGAAUGUCCAACCCCUCUUUCUCGUGCAAUGCUACCUUUGAAGGAGAUUUGCACCAUUAGAGCUGUACCUCCUCCACCUCCUCCAACACCACCUUUGGAGAAUAGCACUGUUGAAGUUGGAUCUCCUCCACCUCCAACACCUCCUGUGUCGGAGAAUAGCAUUGUUAGAGCUGGACCUCCUCCACCUCCUCUAAUGCCACCUUUGAAGGAGAAUAACACUGUUGGAGCUGGACCUCCUCCACCUCCUCCAACGCCACCUUUGAAGGAGAAUAAAACCAUUGGAGCUGGAACUCUUCCACCUCCACCACCUCUUCCGCCUUUGAAGGAGAAUGGCACCAUUGGAGCUGGAGCUUUUCCUCCACCUCCACCUCCACCUCCACAUUUGAAGGAGAAUCAUGCUAUUGGAGCUGGACCUCAUCCACCUCCACCUCCUCCCCCUCCUCUUCAUUUAGGACCAACUACCGGGCCAAUAGUUUCAUCUCGGAUGCCACUAGCGCCGCCGCUACCUCCUACUAUGUCAACCAAUUCCUCCCGUGUUCCUUCU
rnacentral:lncRNA from 1 species